CGUACACUCCUGCGGGAGGCAGCAGUGGGGAAUAUUGGACAAUGGGCGCAAGCCUGAUCCAGCCAUGCCGCGUGAGUGAUGAAGGCCCUAGGGUUGUAAAGCUCUUUCACCGGUGAAGAUAAUGACGGUAACCGGAGAAGAAGCCCCGGCUAACUUCGUGCCAGCAGCCGCGGUAAUACGAAGGGGGCUAGCGUUGUUCGGAUUUACUGGGCGUAAAGCGCACGUAGGCGGACUAUUAAGUCAGGGGUGAAAUCCCGGGGCUCAACCCCGGAACUGCCUUUGAUACUGGUAGUCUUGAGUUCGAGAGAGGUGAGUGGAAUUCCGAGUGUAGAGGUGAAAUUCGUAGAUAUUCGGAGGAACACCAGUGGCGAAGGCGGCUCACUGGCUCGAUACUGACGCUGAGGUGCGAAAGCGUGGGGAGCAAACAGGAUUAGAUACCCUAGUAGUCCCAU
rnacentral:rRNA from 1 species